GCGCUCGUGGCUCAACUGGAUAGAGUACUCGGCUACGAACCGAGCGGUUACAGGUUCAAGUCCUGUCGAGCGCACCA
rnacentral:tRNA from 1 species